rnacentral:snoRNA from 1 species
CCGUACGUGCGGAUAAACUCGACAGCGGAAUUGGCGAAAGUUUCGCGCGUAGUCGCGUUGGCUGCCACAU